rnacentral:rRNA from 1 species
ACCUACGGGACGCAGCAGUGAGGAAUAUUGGUCAAUGGGCUUACGCCUGAACCAGCCAAGUCGCGUGAGGGAUGACGGCCCUACGGGUUGUAAACCUCUUUUGUCGGGGAGCAAGACCCGCCUCGUGCAGGCGGAGCGAGAGUACCCGAAGAGAAAGCAUCGGCUAACUCCGUGCCAGCAGCCGUGGUAAUACGGAGGAUGCGAGCGUUAUCCGGAUUUAUUGGGUUUAAAGGGUGCGCAGGCGGACCAUCAAGUCAGCGGUAAAAUCGUGGGGCCCAACCCCAUCCCGCCGUUGAAACUGGCGG